GGUCGGUCUGAGUGCAGUGGUGUUUACAACUAAUUGAUUGCAACCAGUUACAGAUUCCUUUGUUCCUUCUCCAAGGCUUCACUUGACCAGCCUUUU
rnacentral:Y_RNA from 1 species